rnacentral:rRNA from 1 species
CGUGAGUGAUGAAGGCUUUCGGGUCGUAAAGCUCUGUCAAGUGGGAAGAACCUGUGAAGCGUUAACAUCGCUUUGCACUGACGGUACUACUGAAGGAAGCACCGGCUAACUCCGUGCCAGCAGCCGCGGUAAUACGGGGGGUGCAAGCGUUAUUCGGAAUCAUUGGGCGUAAAGGGCGCGUAGGCGGCCUGGUGAGUCAGAUGUGAAAGCCCGGGGCUCAACCCCGGAAGUGCAUUUGAUACUGCUAGGCUUGAGUAUGGGAGAGGGAAGUGGAAUUCCUGGUGUAGAGGUGAAAUUCGUAGAUAUCAGGAGGAACACCGGUGGCGAAGGCGACUUCCUGGACCAAUACUGACGCUGAGGCGCGAAGGCGUGGGGAGCAAACAGGAUUAGAUACCCUGGUAGUCCACGCAGUAAACGUUGAUCACUAGGUGUAGCGGGUAUUGACCCCUGCUGUGCCGCAGUUAACGCAUUAA